ensembl:snRNA U2 U2 spliceosomal RNA
CUCUCUGCUUGGCCUUUAAACUAAGAUCAAGUGUAGUAUCUGUUUUAAUAAGUUUAAUAUCUGAUUUUGCCUCUAUUUGAGGAAUCUCUUACAUGGAUUUUGGGAGCAGAGCAGAUCAGAGAAAUGGAAUGGGAACUUGCUUGAUGGACUCCAGGCAUCAACCUGUUAUUGAAGAGCCUCCAGGAACAGUGAGCCCCCU